UUCCCUGUAGCUUAAAUGGUAAAGAAUCUGCCUGCAAUGCAGGAGACCAGGGUUUGAUCUCCAGGUUGGGAAG
rfam:TPA: Bos taurus chromosome 6, whole genome shotgun sequence.